ACGCCGGCGGUGUGCCUAAUACAUGCAAGUCGAACGCGUUGGCCCAAUUGAUUGAUGGUGCUUGCACCUGAUUGAUUUUGGUCGCCAACGAGUGGCGGACGGGUGAGUAACACGUAGGUAACCUGCCCAGAAGCGGGGGACAACAUUUGGAAACAGAUGCUAAUACCGCAUAACAGCGUUGUUCGCAUGAACAACGCUUAAAAGAUGGCUUCUCGCUAUCACUUCUGGAUGGACCUGCGGUGCAUUAGCUUGUUGGUGGGGUAACGGCCUACCAAGGCGAUGAUGCAUAGCCGAGUUGAGAGACUGAUCGGCCACAAUGGGACUGAGACACGGCCCAUACUCCUACGGGAGGCAGCAGUAGGGAAUCUUCCACAAUGGGCGCAAGCCUGAUGGAGCAACACCGCGUGAGUGAAGAAGGGUUUCGGCUCGUAAAGCUCUGUUGUUAAAGAAGAACACGUAUGAGAGUAACUGUUCAUACGUUGACGGUAUUUAACCAGAAAGUCACGGCUAACUACGUGCCAGCAGCCGCGGUAAUACGUAGGUGGCAAGCGUUAUCCGGAUUUAUUGGGCGUAAAGAGAGUGCAGGCGGUUUUCUAAGUCUGAUGUGAAAGCCUUCGGCUUAACCGGAGAAGUGCAUCGGAAACUGGAUAACUUGAGUGCAGAAGAGGGUAGUGGAACUCCAUGUGUAGCGGUGGAAUGCGUAGAUAUAUGGAAGAACACCAGUGGCGAAGGCGGCUACCUGGUCUGCAACUGACGCUGAGACUCGAAAGCAUGGGUAGCGAACAGGAUUAGAUACCCUGGUAGUCCAUGCCGUAAACGAUGAGUGCUAGGUGUUGGAGGGUUUCCGCCCUUCAGUGCCGGAGCUAACGCAUUAAGCACUCCGCCUGGGGAGUACGACCGCAAGGUUGAAACUCAAAGGAAUUGACGGGGGCCCGCACAAGCGGUGGAGCAUGUGGUUUAAUUCGAAGCUACGCGAAGAACCUUACCAGGUCUUGACAUCUUGCGCCAACCCUAGAGAUAGGGCGUUUCCUUCGGGAACGCAAUGACAGGUGGUGCAUGGUCGUCGUCAGCUCGUGUCGUGAGAUGUUGGGUUAAGUCCCGCAACGAGCGCAACCCUUGUUACUAGUUGCCAGCAUUAAGUUGGGCACUCUAGUGAGACUGCCGGUGACAAACCGGAGGAAGGUGGGGACGACGUCAGAUCAUCAUGCCCCUUAUGACCUGGGCUACACACGUGCUACAAUGGACGGUACAACGAGUCGCGAACUCGCGAGGGCAAGCAAAUCUCUUAAAACCGUUCUCAGUUCGGACUGCAGGCUGCAACUCGCCUGCACGAAGUCGGAAUCGCUAGUAAUCGCGGAUCAGC
rnacentral:rRNA from 2 species